GACGGUCGGCGACGUGCCUUACACAUGCAAGUCGAACGGUAACAGGUCUUCGGAUGCUGACGAGUGGCGAACGGGUGAGUAAUACAUCGGAACGUGCCCGAUCGUGGGGGAUAACGCAGCGAAAGCUGUGCUAAUACCGCAUACGAUCUACGGAUGAAAGCGGGGGACUCGCAAGGGCCUCGCGCGGACGGAGCGGCCGAUGGCAGAUUAGGUAGUUGGUGGGAUAAAAGCUUACCAAGCCGACGAUCUGUAGCUGGUCUGAGAGGACGACCAGCCACACUGGGACUGAGACACGGCCCAGACUCCUACGGGAGGCAGCAGUGGGGAAUUUUGGACAAUGGGCGCAAGCCUGAUCCAGCCAUGCCGCGUGCAGGAUGAAGGCCUUCGGGUUGUAAACUGCUUUUGUACGGAACGAAAAAGCUCUCUCUAAUACAGGGGGUGAAUGACGGUACCGUAAGAAUAAGCACCGGCUAACUACGUG
rnacentral:rRNA from 1 species